rnacentral:rRNA from 1 species
GUCUACAGCCAUGCUACCCUGAACAAGCCCGAUCCCAUCUGAUCUUGGAAGCUAAGCAGGGUCAGGCCUUGUUAGUACUUGAAUGGGAGACCACCUAGGAAGACCAGGUGCUGUAGGUG